GCUGACGUACCUUAAUUUUAAAGCAUAACGCUGAAAAUGUUAAAAUGAGCCCUAAAAAGCUCCGUAAGCA
rnacentral:tRNA from 1 species